GAAUUAUUAGGAAUAAUCAGGAAGCCACUUAGUCGUUGAACAAAAUCAAGGCAUAUAUGUUAUUUUAUGUCCUGAUGAAGAUCUGCUGGUAGCUUCUCAGGAUCAUAUCAUCUUCAACUCCCUUUGUUUCAAUCCACUUGUAUUUGAAGAAUUUACAAAUGCGAUUCGGCAAAUCAUCAGCGGAGCGAACAGACCAGUGCUUAGAAGGGUUACCCUAUGCAAAUAGGUUUUCACCAAUGAAGGAAAUAGUCACCAACAGAUUACUGUACGUGCUGACACAAAGAGGAACAUUUCUAUUUAUGUGAAAUCAUGGGAGAUCUUCCACAAAUAGUGCAAACAGUAUGGAAGAGUUGGCAAGGACAAGUUUUUAUAUUGUACGACCACAAUACAACAAUUAUUUUCUACAGGAUCUGUAACGAGCUCGUUUUUGCCAAGCACUUCGGAGAUUGGAUCAGCAUAUGCAGUGCAGAAUCCUGUGGCAAUAUGAACUGUGAAGAACAUGUUGACAAGAGACAAUAGCCAAGUGAAUAUGAUGGCCAAAUGGUGGUCCAUUCUCAUGCACAGCCCUCGGACCUACAAGGCUACAAACCUGUGAAUCAAACGACCAAAAAUCCUAAUUCCAUGAAUCAGAGGAGGCAGGGGAGCCUUCCUGCCUCUUUGUACUAUGUCAAACAAUACCUACGACAAAUUCUUGUACUCCUAUUCCUGUGAUGUCAAAAACUCAAGAGUUUUUUUUU